rnacentral:rRNA from 1 species
AAAUAAGAGAAUUUAAUUUUGGUUCCGAUUGAACGUUUUUCAGUAGUUUUAAGACAUGCAAAUCUUUUAUUUCUAGAUAUAAAAUUAAAGAAAUAAGGUGUAGAGGUGAGGAAAAUAAAUAAGAUACCAUAUAGUCAUCGCAAAUAGGUGAUUUUGCAUAAAGUAACAGCUCAUUUAUUUUAAAUUUAAGUUUACGUUAAAUAAAAACAAUUUAUUUUACCUUUAAGUACAAUAUUUUGGUUGAGUGCUUUUUUUGAUUUAUUAUAUUAAAAAUAAUUUUUAUUUUUAAUUUAAUUUUAAAUGGUAUAUUUAUAAUAUAAAAUUUAUUAUUAAAAUUUUAAUAAUAUUCAUAAGAAGUAGUGUAAAAAAUAAAAAUAGCUAUUUUUAUAAAAAAAGGAAAUUUUCCGCUAUAUGAUUCUAUUUAUGUUGUUUAGGUAGUUGGAAGGGUAAAAGCCUAACAAGCCGAUGAUCAAUAGCCAUGUUUGAGAGAACAGAUGGUCACAUUGGGAAUGAAAUGCCCCAAGUAGUAUUGAACUACCAGCAGUCAAGAAUAUUAGUCAAUGCUCGCAAGAGUGAACUAGCUAACUGAAAUCAUAGAAAAACCUUUAAGUUUUAUCUAUGAUAAAGUAAAGGAAAAUAAUGAUAUUACUUUACUAUUAGUGUUGUCCAAAUCUAGUGCCAGAAGACUCGGUAAGGCCAGAGACGCUAACGUUAAUCGUCCUAAACAGGCGUAAAGGGUGUGUAGGCGGCUUUAAAAAUCUUAUUUUUAAAAUAGCUUAAAGAUAAAUUUAUCUUUAAUAAAAAUAAAAUAACUUAAAGCUAGAAUCUGAUGGAGGUUAAUUAAAAUAAUAUUUGGAGAAGUAGUAACAUAUUAAGAUACUAAAUAGAAUGCUAAAGGUGAAGACUUUUUUUCCACUAAAGAUUGACGCUGAGAAACGAAGGUGAGGACAGAAAAAAGGAUUUGGUACCCGCAAUGCGUAUUGCUCACAGUAAACGAUGAAUGGUGGUUUCUAAUUAUAAUAUAAAUUAGUUUCUAUGUUAACACGUUAACCAUUCCGCCUUGCGAGUACGACUGCAAAGUUGAAAUCAAAAAAAUUAGUCGGUCUCGAAGCAAACGAAGGUGGGGCAUGUUAUUUAAUACGAUAAUACGCGUAAAAUCUUACCAGUUCUUGCAUAUAUCUUCAAUUACAUUAUAUGUAAUUGAAAGUGUGGUUUUUUAAUAAAAAAAAAUGAGAAAUUAUUUUCUCAUUUAAAGUUGAAAAUAAAAACUUUAAAAUUUUUUUACAUAAAUACUGGUGUUGCAUGGCUGUCGUCAGUCCGUGUCGUGAGAAGUUAGAUUAACUUCACAAACGGACGAAAUCCCUGCAUUGUUAAUUUAUACUUAAUAAUUAGUGGUUUUUAAAAGACCAUUUGGGGCUAAGACAAGCCGUUAUGGCCCUUAUGAACUGGGCUAUAAACGUGCCACAAAAAACUUUUACAAAGUGAUGCUAAAUCUUAUCUUUAAAUUUAAAGAUAAAUAAAAAGAAAGAGCUAAUCAUUAAAGAAAGUUAAUAUAUAAAUUUAUAAACGGAUUGUCGUCUGAAAUUCGGGGACAUGAAGUAGGAAUUUCGAGUAAUCGUUGAUCACUAGGCGCAACGGUGAAUUAAAAAAUUCGUGAUGAACUAACUGUCUGUCGCUGGGAAGAAGCUUAGAUAGGAGUAAACUAAGUCGAAGUUAUUCGUAAACAUAAUUUUCAUCGGUUCCAUUUAAUUAGUAUUAUUUAAAUAAUAUUAAUAAAAAGGAUUUUCAAAUCUUAGAUGUUUUAAUUAAACAUCUUUUUUACAUUUUGUAUAAUUUGAUUGUAUUUUAACAGCUAUUUUUUUAAUAUUUAUUUUUAGUACUCUUAAUAAUAUAUUAAAUAUAAAUUUUAUAUUUUUUUUAUUUUUAUAUAUAACAUAUAUAUUAUAAUAUAUAAAUAUAUUUUUAAGCUAUGCUAAUUAAUAAUAUUUUAAAAAUCAGACUGAAAAAAUAGCCUUUGUCAUGGUAAUUAGCCUUAGUUAAUUCAUUUAAGUAACAUCUCAAAAGUCAUAGCAAGGUAGCUGUACUGGAAAGUGUAGCUGUAUAAUAAAAACA